UACGUAGGGUGCAAGCGUUGUCCGGAAUUAUUGGGCGUAAAGAGCUUGUAGGCGGUUUGUCGCGUCUGCUGUGAAAUUUCGGGGCUCAACCCCGAACUUGCAGUGGGUACGGGCAGACUAGAGUGUGGUAGGGGGAGACUGGAAUUCCUGGUGUAGCGGUGAAAUGCGCAGAUAUCAGGAGGAACACCGAUGGCGAAGGCAGGGUCUCUGGGCCACUACUGACGCUGAGAAGCGAAAGCAUGGGGGAGCGAACAGG
rnacentral:rRNA from 1 species